UUUGCUGGAAUACAAUUAUUUAAAGAUGUUCUUGGACCCUGAUGAUGGACGAUGAUAUUAUAAAACUAUUGACCUUGUUUCCCCAACUACCCAACAUCUGUGGUCACUGACGGACAGGAACAGAAACCCUCUCCAGAACACGUGUCAUCACGUUUGAUGCAGAUGCAGCUGACAUGGUGAGAAUGUCCAGUGUGGCUUCAGGAGACGAUGCACCAUCCCUGAUGCUACAAAGUGAUGGACGUUUACAUCCUGAUUCAUCAGCAGCAAAAAGGAGGCCAGAUAACGUGAAGAAGUUGUCAGCUGAACUGUCUCAAAGCAGGAAAACCUGUGUAUGGAAGGCAGACUGAACAAGCUUUGUUGUUGAUGGUGUUGUCAAUGCUGCCAAUGAAAAGCUGCAGCAUCAUGGCGGCCUUGCUCUAGCUCUGACCAAAGCUGGAGGCCACUGAUGGAAGCAGAGAGCAAACUCCAUGUCCGGAAGUAUGGGACAUUAAAAACUGGAGAGGCAGCUGUAACCACUGCUGCUAAUCUACCUUGUAAAAAGGUCAUUCAUGCAGUUGGGCCACGUGUCACACACC